CCCUUUUAAACAUUCAAAUUUGUGUGAAUAUCCUCAUAAAAUUGCUAUUUACAUACAUAUUUUUAUAAAUUUUUCUUUUUGCACAUCUAAUCAUAAGGAUAUUUUAGUCAUUUUAAUUUUAAAUCGUUAACUUUUAACGACGUUAGAUGAUGUGGGUAUAUAUAUAAAAAAAUAUUUUAUGAGGAUAUACAUGCAGAUAUUA
rnacentral:lncRNA from 1 species